UUCUCAGCGGCAGUCGUGUUAGCUGCAGUCUCAUCGCUGAAACAAAGACGAUUCUGUGGAGUUGUUCGAGGAUGGAAAGAUAAGGUUAACGUCAUCAUACUGAGCACCCAGGUCCAAGGCGAGUGUGCGUUUCUGGACCCCUGGGUCUACAUCCUCCUGAGGAAGGCCAUCCUCAAGAAGCUCUUCCUGCUGGUGCACAAAGUCCCACCCCCACCCUCUCAACCACUGGAAGUAGACCAACGGCACCUCCAUCAGAAGUAAGCCAGACUGCUUCUGCUUGGAUGGAAAUGUCAGAGGCCUACCAGACACAAUAUUGUGCUGUCCAUUCAUGAGGCAUACAAGACACUGGCAUGUUAGUUAUCAUUGACCGUGACAAACACUUAAUGGCUGGACCCAGAUGGACACCUAUUGAUUGCUUCUAGCCAACCUAUUAGUACCUUACUACCUAACCUUGAAAGGUUGAACUCUGCAAUCAGCACUAGGAUGUCAAUGUUGUCUUCUUGAGUCUUCUCUGUGACAGUUAUGGCUUAUAAACCCAGCUUCUCAGAACUAAAGACAUCUGUAGUUCUAGAGUCCCUCACAGCCCUCAAAGCAAGUGCAUAAUGACAAGGGCAAUUGAUUGUUUUACAGCUCAGUCAGUGAGUGAUUGAAAUAUCGCCUCAGCAGGUGUUCCUCUGGUAAAAUGAAUUGUUCUGUUUCGCUGCUGUUGUGUCUGGCAGAUGGUUGGCAGAUUAAAAAUGAACACAU